CCCGUAGGCGGUGUGGCAAGUCGGUAGUGAAAUCUCUCGGCUUAACUGAGAGGCUGCUGCCGAAACUGCCAUGCUCGAGUGCGAGAGAGGCGAGUGGAAUUACGGGUGUAGCGGUGAAAUGCGUAGAUAUCCGUAGGAACAUCCGAGGCGAAAGCGGCUCGCUGGAUCGCAACUGACGCUGAGGGACGAAAGCUAGGGGAGCAAACAGGAUUAGAUACCCUGGUAGUCCUAGCCCUAAACCAUCAGGACUUGGGGUUUGCCCUGUACGGGGCAAGUCCCGGAGCUAACGCGUUAAGUCCUGCGCCUGGGGAGUACGGUCGCAAGGCUGAA
rnacentral:rRNA from 1 species